rfam:Fukomys damarensis contig115620, whole genome shotgun sequence.
AGCUUUGCCCUGGGCCAGUAUUGUAGCCAAUGAGGUUUAUCUGAGGUGUAAUUAUUGCUAACCCAAAACUUAACUGGAGCCAACUUUAAUGAGAAUUUAAAGAUGCAAUCCAAGCCCAGAUUUUCAUGUUUUAUCAGUUUUAACAAAU